rnacentral:rRNA from 1 species
UACGAAGGUCCCAAGCGUUAUCCGGAUUUAUUGGGUUUAAAGGGUGCGUAGGCGGAAUAGUAAGUCAGUGGUGAAAGCCUGUCGCUUAACGACAGAACUGCCAUUGAUACUGCUAAUCUUGAGUAUAAUUGAAGUGGGCGGAAUGUGUCGUGUAGCGGUGAAAUGCUUAGAUAUGACACAGAACACCGAUUGCGAAGGCAGCUCACUAAACUAUAACUGACGCUGAGGCACGAAAGCGUGGGGAUCAAACAGG